rnacentral:rRNA from 1 species
GCCUAGCCCUAAACAUCGAUAGCACCUUACACCUGCUAUCCGCCCGGGAACUACGAGCAUCAGCUUGAAACCCAAAGGACUUGGCGGUGCUUUAGAUCCACCUAGAGGAGCCUGUUCUAGAACCGAUAACCCCCGUUAAACCUCACCCUUCCUUGUUUUCCCCGCCUAUAUACCGCCGUCGUCAGCUUACCCUGUGAAGGUCCUAUAGUAAGCAAAAUUGGCACAGCCCAAAACGUCAGGUCGAGGUGUAGCGUAUGGAAGGGGAAGAAAUGGGCUACAUUCCCUAAUGCAGUGAAUACGAACGAUGCACUGAAAUGUACAUCCGAAGGAGGAUUUAGCAGUAAGCAGGAAAUAGAGUGUUCCGCUGAAAUUGGCCCUGAAGCGCGCACACACCGCCCGUCACCCUCAAA